CCGUAGGUGAACCUGCGGAGGGAUCAUUACAGAGUUCAUGCCCUACCGGGUAGAUCUCCCACCCUAUGUUAUUAUUACUUUGUUGCUUUGGCGGGCCGUUAGGCUCCGGCCCGACUACCGGCCCCGGCUGGUAAGCGCCCGCCAGAGGACCCAAAACCCUGAAUAUUAGUGUCGUCUGAGUACUAUAUAAUAGUUAAAACUUUCAACAACGGAUCUCUUGGUUCCG
rnacentral:misc_RNA from 1 species